rnacentral:rRNA from 1 species
ACGAACGCUGGCGGCGUGCUUAACACAUGCAAGUCAAGGGGGCCCAGCAAUGGGCAACCGGCGAACGGGUGCGUAACACGUGAGCAACCUACCGAAGUGUGGGGGAUAGCCGGCCUAACGGCCGAGUAAUACCGCAUACGAUUCCGAAGAGGCAUUUCUUUGGAAUGAAACCUACGGUGGUACUUCGAGGGGCUCGCGGCCUAUCAGCUAGUUGGUGAGGUAACGGCUCACCAAGGCAACGACGGGUAGCUGGUCUGAGAGGAUGGCCAGCCACAUUGGGACUGAGAAACGGGCCCAGACUCCUACGGGAGGCAGCAGUGGGGAAUCUUGCGCAAUGGCCUAACGGCUGGCGCAGCGACGCCGCGUGAGGGAUGAAGCUCCUCGGAGUGUAAACCUCUGUUGCCCGGGACGAACAGCUCGUUUUAAACGAGCCUGACGGUACCGGGUGAGGAAGCACCGGCUAACUCCGUGCCAGCAGCCGCGGUAGUAACGGGGGUGCGAGCGUUGUCCGGAAUCACUGGGCGUAAAGGGCGCGUAGGUGGUCUGAUAAGGGUGUGGUGAAAGUCCGGGGCUCAACCCCGGAUCUGCCGUGCCGACUGUCAGACUCGAGGACUGUAGAGGCAGGCGGAAUUCCGGGUGUAGCGGUGGAAUGCGUAGAGAUCCGGAGGAAGACCGGUGGCGAAGCGGCCUGCUGGGCAGUUUCUGACACUGAGGCGCGACAGCGUGGGGAGCAAACAGGAUUAGAUACCCUGGUAGUCCACGCCGUAAACGAUGGGUACUAGGUGCCUGGGGGAGCGACCCUCUGGGUGCCGGCGCUAACGCAGGAAGUACCCCGCCUGGGGAGUACGGCCGCAAGGCUGAAACUCAAAGGAAUUGACGGGGGCCCGCACAAGCGGUGGAGCAUGUGGUUUAAUUCGACGCAACGCGAAGAACCUUACCUAGGCCUUGACAUGUACGAGUAACCCUCAGAAACGGAGGAGCCCUCUUCGGAGUUCGCUUCACACAGGUGCUGCAUGGCUGUCGUCAAGCUCGUGUCGUGAGAUGUUGGGUUAAGUCCCGCAACGAGCGCAACCCCUCGGUCUUCAGUUGCCAGCGGGUAAUGGCGGGCACUCUAGAAGGACUGCCGGUGACAAGCCGGAGGAGGUGGGGAGACGUCAAGUCAUCAUGGUCCUUACGUCUAGGGCUACACACGUACUACAAUGGUCGGUGACAGAGGGGUGCCAACCGGGUGACCGGGGAGCCAAUCCCAGAAAAGCCGAUCUCAGUUCGGAUUGCAGUUCUCUGCAACUCGACUGCAUGAAGGUGGAAUCGCUAGUAAUCGCGGAUCAGCACUGAUCCGCGGUGAAUACGUUUCCCGGGCCUUGUACACACCGCCCGUCACACCAUGGGAGUGGGUUCUACCUGAAGUCCGGUGCGCCUAACCGCAAGGAGGGCACCGUACCACGGUCGGAUUCAUCGACUGGGGUG